UAAAAUUCAAGGUUGCCCACUUGUCUCUGAAGUUCUGGCUUCGUUGGUUCUGUGAACCGUAGCAGUGCUGCUAAAGCAUUCUCCAAUAGAGAUUUAUCUACAAUAGCAGGUGCUCUCAUCCCAUUAUCUUCCUCUUCCAUGCUACAGAUCACCUCACGGAUUGCUUUUAACACUUCUGAUUUAUGUAGCAUUUCAUCAAUAAUGGUAUCAUCCUUUGGAAGCUGGCUAAUGAUGCCAGCAGCAAGACACCUUUCUUCAACAUCCGGGGAGUGGGUCAGGAUGGCUACCAAGGUAUUGACAGCAGCUCCUUUCCCAGGGGACGACGGCAGUGGAGCUCCAUCAGGAUGAUCGUCUGAGAUACAAUGUAUGAGCUUCAAUAUCCAUCUUUUCACCAGAGGCUCAUCACCAUCAAGUGAAGAAAAUAGGUGAGCGACAGCAUCUCCAUUAGAUCGGAUUAAAUCUCGAGCUAUGUCUGAUUUACUGCUGAUUUCUACUAGCAGAUGCAAGAAUUGAAUCUUGAUUUGAGGAUCAGAAUAAACUAUUUGCUGCAGAAAGAGACUGAUAUUUUGCUUUGAUUGCAGCUCCUGAAGGCCCUGAUGCAUUUCGAAUUGAGGAAGCGGGCAGGCUUCAACCAAUAGAGCAAGGAUCUCACUAGCUUCUUGCUUCAAAUAUGGAUCUGGGCUGAAAAAUGAGAUGAGACCCAACAAAGCUGGUAUAGUUGUAGAAUCUGAUAAAAGCCACUUUGCCAUCUUGGGGUAUGCUAUUAGCUUUUUGAUGCAUUUGAGGCAAAUCAAUUUGUAUGCUGAGGAGCUUGAAGAGAGCAUCUGUAUUAGACUUUGAAUGAAUUGCCUGUCUUCCAAGUCCUUCAUUCCAUUUUCCUUGAUUUGCAUCUUCAACAAGUCAUCAACCAUCCAUGCUCUACUCUCUUGUGACCCUGUAGGAAGAGGACUUUUUUAGUGACUCAAGGUAUAGUGGCAGAAAAGUAUUAUGGUACAAUUUUUUUCUUUAUGCACCUUGAACGAAACGAGCUACAAAUGGUUGAAAAUAUCCAGCUUCAGCCAUUUUGACUACAAAGGAUGUGUUGGAAGAAAGAUUUUGUAACGUGUUCUUUGCUUUUUCUGAGAUGUCUGGGUUAUUGUUAUCAAGCAAAGAAACCAAAAGGGGAAUACAAUCUUUUGUAUUCCCAAUUUUUUCUCUAAGGGUUUCAUUGUUUGAUAAUUCCAACAGAAUUGUAAUUGCAUCAGGUAUUUUUUCACCUGUAUAGAUCUGCUUCACAAUUCGUCGAACCACCCCUGCUUCUAUAAAAGCUUCCUGCAACUCCACAAAACAGCAACUCUUAGACAUACACAAGUGAAAGUUGAAAUGAAUAGAUAGUCAACAACUAAGACUUGGUAGUCGUUACCUUGUGAGUAUCACAGUUUUUAGCGAGGAAAGAAAGACAUUUCAAGGUUGCCAUGGUGUUCAGCCUACUAUCUUUCAAGAAUUCCACUAACUUAGGAAUGAGUCCCUCCUCUGCAACUCUGAUUGCAUACUCGGGUAUUUCUGUCAAAAGCUGCAGAUCCUCUAAGCCUUUAUUUUGUCUAGAAUAAUCUUUAGAGCUGAUUGCAGAUAUUGCAGCUUGGAAUUUUAAGUCCAUGUCUCUUUGCUUCCACUCUUCUAUUGAGCUUCGAAGGUUGACAUUUGGCGUAAGCUCUAAAGAAAGUAGAUUCUCUCUGCAGGUAGGACAGUGUUUCUUUCCUCCAUUAAAGUGGUCCUGAAUUGCUUUUCUC
rnacentral:lncRNA from 1 species